rnacentral:lncRNA from 1 species
AAAGCACAUAUAAACCCACAGCCACUGCGGGUGGAAGGAGAAGGGCAGGGUGGAAAAAGUUUGAGAGAAGGAGGGAGGAAAAGGUGUCCUGGCUAGCACCAUGUGGAUUCUCUUGAGAUGAGAAGAAAAUGCCCCGCUACGUCCCCCUUCUGCUGCUCCUGCUUCUCCUGAGGUGUUCAGAACGGGGUGGAGGAGUUAAUUUUGGUGAGAAGGAUGCAAAAGUCCCCGGGACCUGGAGAGAUGGAGUCAGGGUCCCUGGAGAAGGAGCCUCUUGGGACUCAGACAGGGCCAGUCCCGAGCGAAGGUACGGAAUAGAAAGAGUGUUUCCUGCCUCCAUUAAAUCCAUCCACCAGGGUUAUUUAUCAUCCCCAUGUCAUGGACUACAGUACACCAUAAAGAGGACCCCAGCAGUGACUACAGUUGGUUCUAGAAAAAGGAGACCCCUCAUCCGCCUCUGCAAGACUAUACAGCAUGAUGUGUAUCCUCAGGCCUCCACUCCUCCGCCCUAGUCUGGAGCCCUGGGACCACCACAUGAGGAAGGCAGCUGGCCCCUGGAAUAAGCAUGUGGAGGACACUCAGAAGGAUGCCCAUCUGCUCUGAGUGUCUCCUAAUUCUGCCUGACCUUGGUUACUUCCUCUGGACAAUCGCCUUUACCUAUCUACCAGGUUUUGAGGAAUUACACACAGCUCAGGUAUAAGAGAUAUUCGUCCAGUGUUUAAAGGACCUCUUCAGGUGUCAUCAAGGAGUCAUACCAGGUCCAGCUGAACCCAACUUGCACAAGUCCAGAUUGAGGACACCAGGCAAGUAAGCACACCCCUCUAGAUUGUGCCUGAACAGGAUUUAUGCCUUUUGGGGAGUGUCACCUCUCAUUAAAACGUCUGCGAAUGCACACUCUGGUCCAGUCCCCUGUCUUUCUAAACAAGAAUGUUUGGUGAAGCAACAGUGAUUCAACACUCUCCCUUAGCGAGGUAUUGUUUGACACCUUAGAAAACACGUAGUUAUUUUUCAGAUCUAUUCAGGACCUUUCUUGUGAUUCAUCUAAAACAAACCCCUCUCUUCAGUCUCUACAGAUUACCAUAUUUAUUUUCUUUAUGGAGCUGACGACAAUCUGAACUUAUGCUUAUUUACGUGUUAACUUAUUUGUUUUAUGUCUGUCUCCUUCCACUAGAAUGUCAGUUCCUUGAGAAUAGGGGUUUUGAGGACAAUAUAUGAGAUAGAUUAGAUAUUUAAUAAUCAUAUGCUUCAUUGAGCCUCUGAUGCACAUCUUCCCCAUUGGAUCGUAAUCUAAAAUUGAGAUGUCGGAUGGGCGUAGUGGCUCACACCUGUAAACCCAGCACUUUGGGAGGCUGAGGCAGGUGGAUCACUUGACGUCAGGAGUUGGAGACCAGCCUGGCCAACAUAGUGAAACCCCGUCUCUACUAAAAAUACAAAAAUUAGCUGGGCGCUGGUGGCACACACCUGUAGUCCCAGCUACUCAGGAGGCUGAGGCAAGAGAAUCACUUGAACCUGGGAGGUGGAGGUUGCAGUGAGCCGAGAUUGCACCACUGCACUCCAGCCUGGGUGACAGAGUGAGAUGCUGUCUUAAAAAAAUAAUAAUAAAAAUAAAAUGGAGAUGUCCACUGGCUGCAGUGGUUCAGGCCUGUAAUCCCAGGACUUUUGGAGGACAAGGUGGGAGGAUUGCCCAGAGCUAGGAGUUAGAGACCUGCCUGGGCAACAUCGCAAGACACUGCCUAAAAAAAAAAACCAAGAAACGUUUAAAAAUGGAAAAGUGUCUUACACUUGAUAGCACAUCAUGAACCAGUCAGUAGCACUCUUUCUUCCUUAGUGGGGCAUAAGUAAUGCUGCAUCUUGCAUUCAACGUCAUCUUAGAUGGGAUGAAAUACACAUUUUGGAAUA